rnacentral:rRNA from 1 species
UACAUGUGGGGCAAGCGUUGUUCGGAAUUACUGGGCAUAAAGAGUGCGUAGGUGGCUUGUUAAGUCAGGGGUGAAAGUUUUCGGCCCAACCGGAAAAUGGCCUUUGAUACUGGCGAGCUCGAGUGCGUGAGGGGUAACCGGAACGAGCAGUGUAGCGGUGAAAUGCGUAGAUAUUGCUCGGAAGGCCAACGGCGAAGGCAGGUUACUGGUGCGCAACUGACACUGAGGCACGAAAGCGUGGGGAGCAAACAGG